UACGAAGGGGGCUAGCGUUGCUCGGAAUCACUGGGCGUAAAGGGCGCGUAGGCGGAUACUUAAGUCGGGGGUGAAAGCCCAGGGCUCAACCCUGGAAUAGCCUUCGAUACUGGGUAUCUUGAGUUCGGGAGAGGUGAGUGGAACUCCGAGUGUAGAGGUGAAAUUCGUAGAUAUUCGGAAGAACACCAGUGGCGAAGGCGACUCACUGGCCCGAUACUGACGCUGAGGCACGAAAGCGUGGGGAGCAAACAGGG
rnacentral:rRNA from 1 species